UACGGGGGGGGCAAGCGUUGUUCGGAAUUACUGGGCGUAAAGGGCUCGUAGGCGGCCAACUAAGUCGGAUGUGAAAUCCCCAGGCUCAACUUGGGAACUGCAUCCGAUACUGGAUGGCUUGAAUUCGGGAGAGGGAUGCAGAAUUCUAGGUGUAGCGGUGAAAUGCGUAGAUAUCUGGAGGAAUACCGGUGGCGAAGGCGGCAUCCUGGACCGACAUUGACGCUGAGACGCGAAAGCGUGGGGAGCGAACAGG
rnacentral:rRNA from 1 species